rnacentral:rRNA from 1 species
CCAGACUCCUACGGGAGGCAGCAGUGGGGGAUAUUGCACAAUGGGGGAAACCCUGAUGCAGCGACGCCGCGUGGGUGAAGGAGUAUUUCGGUAUGUAAAGCCCUAUCAGCAGGGAAGAACAAUGACGGUACCUGACUAAGAAGCACCGGCUAAAUACGUGCCAGCAGCCGCGGUAAUACGUAUGGUGCAAGCGUUAUCCGGAUUUACUGGGUGUAAAGGGAGCGUAGACGGCAGUGCAAGUCUGGAGUGAAAGGCGGGGGCUCAACCCCCGGACUGCUCUGGAAACUGUACGGCUGGAGUGCAGGAGAGGUAAGUGGAAUUCCUAGUGUAGCGGUGAAAUGCGUAGAUAUUAGGAGGAACACCAGUGGCGAAGGCGGCUUACUGGACUGUAACUGACGUUGAGGCUCGAAAGCGUGGGGAGCAAACAGGAUUAGAUACCCCAGUAC